UACGAAGGGGACUAGCGUUGUUCGGAAUUACUGGGCGUAAAGCGCACGUAGGCGGAUUUGUAAGCCAGAUGUGAAAUCCCCGGGCUUAACCUGGGAAUGGCAUUUGGGACUGCAAGGCUGGAGUGCGGCAGAGGAGACUGGAAUUCCUGGUGUAGCAGUGAAAUGCGUAGAUAUCAGGAGGAACACCGAUGGCGAAGGCAGGUCUCUGGGCUGACACUGACGCUCAUGCACGAAAGCGUGGGGAGCAAACAGG
rnacentral:rRNA from 1 species